AUGAACGCUGGCGGCGUGCCUAAUACAUGCCAGUCGAGCGAACGGACGAGAAGCUUGCUUCUCUGAUGUUAGCGGCGGACGGGUGAGUAACACGUGGAUAACCUACCUAUAAGACUGGGAUGACUUCGGGAAACCGGAGCUAAUACCGGAUGAUAUUUUGAACCGCAUGGUUCAAAAGUGAAAGACGGUCUUGCUGUCACUUAUAGAUGGAUCCGCGCUGCAUUAGCUAGUUGGUAAGGUAACGGCUUACCAAGGCAACGAUGCAUAGCCGACCUGAGAGGGUGAUCGGCCACACUGGAACUGAGACACGGUCCAGACUCCUACGGGAGGCAGCAGUAGGGAAUCUUCCGCAAUGGGCGAAAGCCUGACGGAGCAACGCCGCGUGAGUGAUGAAGGUCUUCGGAUCGUAAAACGCUGUUAUUAGGGAAGAACAUAUGUGUAAGUAACUGUGCACAUCUUGACGGUACCUAAUCAGAAAGCCACGGCUAACUACGU
rnacentral:rRNA from 1 species